AAACUUAACUCAUCUUUAACUUCAGAAUUAAGAAUGUAUUUUCAUUUUUGGGGCACAAAAUCAUCCCUCCAUUUCUGCCAUUGCACAAACAUAAAGAGUUUAAUAUUUUUUUUCUCUUAUUGUCUUAUGAUUUUUCCACAAUUUUUUAUCUGUUUGUUUCUUCAUGGUGUCUUAUGCUUUUUCCACACUUUUUCCACACUUUUUGAUCAAUUAAUUUAAUUGAUUAAUUGAAUACCAGUAGGGUGCGAUCAAGAUGGUGGAAUAUGGUGGUCGACGAGGGGAAAUACGGUGGAGCGAUCAGACGCUUCUACCUCUGCGUCCCAUCAAGCAAUUCUCCGGCACCGUCUCUUGCUGGUAUUCUGAUUUCAAGUUUUCGGCCCUCAAUGAACCCUUGUUUCGUUUCGGUCGGCGACACUCUAGGUCCUUGAGGGUAUGGUUCUCCAUAGGAGUCGUAUUUAGUUUGGCUGCUUUACUUGGAAUCACACUAGUCAGUGGCUGAUCUUCAACGUUGUCUAUUUUUUUUCCCUGAACUAAGAGAAUUGUUUACGAUGGCUUUUACCCUUAAUCUUACAUUGUUCUUUGUUUUCAUUUAUUUUUUAUUUUCAGAUUAUUCUAUGUGAAUUGGUCCGAACAACACUUGUAUGUGCCGGAAAAACCUGUACGGGUAACUCCUUGUUUGGGCUUGCCGCUGUGGUUA